rnacentral:rRNA from 1 species
GACGAACGCUGGCGGCGUGCUUAACACAUGCAAGUCGAGCGGUAAGGCCUCUUCGGGGGUACACGAGCGGCGAACGGGUGAGUAACACGUGGGUGACCUGCCCUCAGCUCUGGGAUAAGCCUGGGAAACUGGGUCUAAUACCGGAUAUGACCUUUCCUCGCAUGGGGGUUGGUGGAAAGUUUUUUCGGCUGGGGAUGGGCCCGCGGCCUAUCAGCUUGUUGGUGGGGUGAUGGCCUACCAAGGCGACGACGGGUAGCCGGCCUGAGAGGGCGACCGGCCACACUGGGACUGAGACACGGCCCAGACUCCUACGGGAGGCAGCAGUGGGGAAUAUUGCGCAAUGGGCGGAAGCCUGACGCAGCGACGCCGCGUGGGGGAUGACGGCCUUCGGGUUGUAAACCUCUUUCGACCCCGACGAAUUUGGACGGUAGGGGUAGAAGAAGCACCGGCCAACUACGUG